AUUGAACGCUGGCGGCAGGCCUAACACAUGCAAGUCGAGCGAGUGGCGGACAGGUGAGUAAUGUCUGGGAAACUGCACGAUGGAGGGGGAUCACUACUGGCAACGGUAGCUAAUACCGCAUCCUAUCGGCUGUGCCCAGCUGGGAUUCUCUAGUAGGUGGGGGAACGGCGCACCUAGGCGACGAUCCCUAGCUGGUCUGAGAGGAUGAACAGCCACACUGGACCGGAGACACGGUCCAGACUCCUACGGGAGUCAGCAGUGGGGAAUAUUGCACAAUGGGCGCAAGCCUGCUGCAGCCAUGCCGCGUGUAUGAAGAAGGCCUUCGGGUUGUAAAGUACUUUCAGCGGGGAGGCGUGACCCGCAGAAGAAGCACCGGCUAACUCCGUGCCAGCCGCCGCGGUAAUUC
rnacentral:rRNA from 1 species